rnacentral:misc_RNA from 1 species
UAGUAUGAUAUCAUAAAAACAAAAAUUCUCAUAAAAUGUAUGUCAUAGUUUCACUCACAAAUGUAAAUAGUACAAGUGACAUUCACAAAUUUAGGUUUUUCUCAUUCUAUAACUAGGAACAAUGAUUAUUUUCUUUCCUCAAUCUCUUACAUACAUAAUCUGAACUAAAAUUUUAAUAAUAAUCCAACAAUUUUGAAUUUUCUAUCCAAAUAAAACCUUUCUUUUACGAGCAUCAUUAUUCAUGUUACCAUUAAAUAUCAAAA